rnacentral:rRNA from 1 species
GACGAACGCUGGCGGCGUGCUUAACACAUGCAAGUCGAACGGAAAGGCCCUGCUUUUGUGGGGUGCUCGAGUGGCGAACGGGUGAGUAACACGUGAGUAACCUGCCCUUGACUUUGGGAUAACUUCAGGAAACUGGGGCUAAUACCGGAUAGGAGCUCCUGCUGCAUGGUGGGGGUUGGAAAGUUUCGGCGGUUGGGGAUGGACUCGCGGCUUAUCAGCUUGUUGGUGGGGUAGUGGCUUACCAAGGCUUUGACGGGUAGCCGGCCCGAGAGGGUGACCGGCCACAUUGGGACUGAGAUACGGCCCAGACUCCUACGGGAGGCAGCAGUGGGGAAUAUUGCACAAUGGGCGGAAGCCUGAUGCAGAAACGCCGCGUGCGGGAUGACGGCCUUCGGGUUGUAAACCGCUUUCGCCUGUGACGAAGCGUGAGUGACGGUAAUGGGUAAAGAAGCACCGGCUAACUACGUG